GACGAACGCUGGCGGCGUGCCUAAUACAUGCAAGUAGAACGCUGAAGAGAGGAGCUUGCUCUUCUUGGAUGAGUUGCGAACGGGGGAGUAACGCGUAGGUAACCUGCCUUGUAGCGGGGGAUAACUAUUGGAAACGAUAGCUAAUACCGCAUAACAAUGGCUGACACAUUUCAUUUAUUUGAAAGGGGCAAUUGCUCCACUACAAGAUGGACCUGCGUUGUAUUAGCUAGUAGGUGAGGUAAUGGCUCACCUAGGCGACGAUACAUAGCCGACCUGAGAGGGCGAUAGGCCGCACUGGGACUGCAACACGUCACAGACGCCUACGGGAGGCAACAGUAGGGAAUCAUCGGCGAUGGAGGCAACCCUGACCGAGCAACGCCGCGUGAGAGAAGAAGGUUUUCGGAUCGUAAAGCUCUGUUGUGAGGCAAGAAAGGGUGUGAGAGUGGAAAGUUCACAAUGUGACGGUAGCUUACCAGAAAGCGACGGCUAACUACGUG
rnacentral:rRNA from 1 species